UACGUAGGGUGCGAGCGUUAAUCGGAAUUACUGGGCGUAAAGCGUGCGCAGGCGGUUCGUUGUGUCUGAUGUGAAAGCCCCGGGCUCAACCUGGGAAUGGCAUUGGAAACUGGCGAGCUAGAGUGUGGCAGAGGGGGGUGGAAUUCCGCGUGUAGCAGUGAAAUGCGUAGAGAUCAGGAAGAACACCGGUGGCGAAAGCGCUCUGCUAGGCCGCAACUGACACUGAGGGACGAAAGCUAGGGGAGCGAAUGGG
rnacentral:rRNA from 1 species